GUUUGAUCUGGCUCGUUAGACGCUGGCGGGAUGCUUUACAUGCAAGUCGAACGGCAGCACGGACUUCGGUCUGGUGGCGAGUAGCGAACAGGUGAGUAAUCUCCUCGGAACGUACCUAAUGUGGCGAGAUAUGCAACACGUAGCUAAUACCGCAUACGCCCUUCGGGGGGAAAGCGGGGGGACCUUCGGGCCUCGCCACUAUUGAAGCGGUCGAUAUCGGAUUGGCUAGUUGGUGGGGUAACGGCUCACCAAGGCGACGAUCCGUAGCUGGUUUGAAGGACGACCAGCCACACUGGGACUGAGACACGGCCCAGACUCCUACGGGAGGCAGCAGUGGGGAAUUUUGGACAAUGGGGGAAACUGGUCAGCCAUCCCGCGUGUGCGAUGAAGGCCUUCGGGUUGUAAGCACUUUUGGCAGGAAAGAAACGGCACGGGAUAAUACCCGAUGCAGCUGACGGUACCUGCAGAAUAAGCACCGGCUAACUUCGUGCCAGCAGCCGCGGUAGCCAGCGAAAAUUUAAGCGUUAAUCGGAAUUACUGGGCGUAAAGCGUGCGCAGGCGGUUCGGAAAGAAAGAUCUUAACGUCCCAGAGCUUAACUUUGGAACUGCAUUUUUAACUACAAACUAGAGUGUGUCAGAGGGGUGGAAUUCCGCGUGUAGCAGUGAAAUGCGUAGAUAUGCGGAGGAACACCGAUGGCGAAGGCAGCCUCUAGGAUAACACGAGCGCUCAUGCGAAAGCGUGGGGAGCAAACAGGAUUAGAUACCCUGGUAGUCCACGCCCUAAACGAUGUCAGCUGGCUGUUGGGGCCUUCGGGCCUUGGUAGCGCAACUAACGCGUGAAGUUGACCGCCUGGGGAGUACGGUCGCAAGAUUAAAACUCAAAAGGAAUUGACGGGGACCCGCACAAGCGGUGGAUGAUGUGGAUUAGUCUGGUACAACGCGAAAAGCCUUACCUACCUUGACAUAUCUAGGUCCCGAAGAGAUUUGGGAGUGCUCGCAAGAGAACCGGAACACAGGUGCUGCAUGGCUGUCGUCAGCUCGUGUCGUGAGAUGUUGGGUUAAGUCCGCAACAGGCGCAACCCUUGUCAUGGUUUGCUAAAAGGGGCACUCUAAUGAGACUGCCGGUGACAAACCGGAGGAAGGUGGGGACGUCAAGUCCUCAUGGCCCAUAUGGGUGAGGGGGCUUCACGUCAUACAAUGGUCAGGACAGAGGGUCGCCAACCCGCCGAGGGGAGCCAAUCCCAGAAACCCGAUCGUAGUCCGGAUCGCAGUCUGCAAUGACUGCGUGAAGUCCGGAAUCGCUAACAAUCUUUUGGAUCAGCAUGUCGCGGUGAAUACGUUCCGGGUCUUGUACACACCGCCCGUCACACCAUGGGAAUUGGGUUUUACCAGAAGUAGUUAGCCUAACCGUAAGGAGGGCGAUUACCACGGUAGGAUUCAUGACUGGGGGUGAAGUCGUAACAAGGUAA
rnacentral:rRNA from 1 species